GACGAACCGUGCGAACGUUGUUCGGAAUUAUUGGGCGUAAAGCGCGCGCAGGUGGUUUCUUAAGUCUGAUGUGAAAGCCCACGGCUCAACCGUGGAGGGUCAUUGGAAACUGGGGAACUUGAGUGCAGAAGAGGAAAGUGGAAUUCCAAGUGUAGCGGUGAAAUGCGUAGAGAUUUGGAGGAACACCAGUGGCGAAGGCGACUUUCUGGUCUGUAACUGACACUGAGGCGCGAAAGCGUGGGGAGCGAACAGG
rnacentral:rRNA from 1 species